AUGGCUCUACGCGACUGGUACGCGGAUCGCGAGCUGCUCCUAACAGGAGCGACCAGCGACGUGGGACGAGCGUUGCUCGAGAAGAUUCUUCGCUCGUUCCCCCACGUGAAGAUUUACGCGAUCGUUCGUUCCCGCCACGGCUUCACCAAAGACGACAGGAUCAAGAAUAUCUUUCUUUCGCCACGAUUCGAGAGAUUGAGACAAGAGGAUCCGAACGCUCUUUCGCGAGUGAAAGCGUUGGAGGGUAAUUUAUUGUACAACGAUUUCGGUGUCAGCAAGAGGGACAAGGAGCUGUUGGGAAACGUGAGCGUGGUGUUCCACGCCGGAGGCCCAUGCGACGAGAUAUUUCGAUUCUCCAAACAAUCGUCGCGAGUCCAAGCUGUGGUAGUAGUGACGAGCAUCUUCGAGCGGGCGAGCGACGGCCGAGUGGUCGAGGCGGGGAAGGAAGGGGGCAAAGACGACGGACUCGUAGCAUUGGUGCAGGUUCCGUUGGUCGGGCCUGCACUCCGCGAACCCAUGCCCGGAUUCGUGGACGCACUGAAAGGAUCGACAGCUUUGAUAGCGGGAGCGGGCCACGUCCUCGGCAAUUCAAAACUUCAAGCGGAAAUUAUUCCGAUCGAUCUGGCGGUCAACACCUUGAUCACUGUUGCUUGGGAACGAGCCACCUCAAAAAAUGUACAAGGUCCAGUGAUAUACAACGCGAUCCCGAUAGGAUGCACAUGGAGUGACCUGAUUAAGAAAUCUCGGCGAGCCAACCGAAAGUUUACAUAUCCGACUUUCGGCUUCCGUGGUAUGACAUCUAUAGUAACGCUACAUUGGGCUUUGGUGGUGCUUUUUGAAUGGUUGCCAUCCACACUCUGCGACACGAUUCUCGGACUAGUCGGAGCAAAGAAAAGAUUUCUCGUGGAGUAUCAAAGAGUCCGUGAUGCACUUCGAUCCCUUGAGGUAAUUUCAUCAAGAGUGUGGUCAGUAGAGAGGAAUCGCGUGUAUCUGGUUCAACAACGUCUCGCUACGGAGGACCAAGAUAUAUUUCCGGUUUCCACGGAAAUCGACGUCGAGAGUUACGCUCUCUGCGCUGCGGCAGCUGCCAAAAAGUAUUGCGUGGACGAGGGUAAUAUCAGCCUCAUAAAAAUCUUCCGACUGUUUUUCCUCUUUCUUAUCGUUGCGCUCCUCUUUUGCACGUUCUUCUUCAACGGAUAUCACGUACUCGCAAAGCACACCGAAUUCUGAAAUUUUUAACUUUGAAGAUGUCAUUUGUCUACAACUUAAAUGUAAGUUUAAAAUACUAGAAGUCUGUGCUGCAAUUUUAGAAUGGUAGAGUAAAUGAAAAGGACGUAAAUUAGAAAAUACAGGAGUUAGAAAUGAUUCUUUCUGAAAGAGAAAAACAAUUGUAUAAUAUCGCUAAGAUAAAACCAGAAUUAUCACAAAAAAAAUUUUCGCGUCAAGAAUCGUUAAAAAUAAUUUUUUCUUGAAAAUGUUCCAUGAUUCCUGGUAAGAGAAAAACAUCAUUUACAAACGGAAGUUCAAUCUUUUAUUCUCUUUCAUAGAAUUUGGUUUGGUAUAAUACUAUGAUCUAACGAGUUAAUUUGAAUACCGAACACGGUCAAAUUAUAUUGUUUGAAUAAGAAAAAAAAUUUACACAAAGAGAAAGCAAGUACAUUCUCAUCUUUCUUUUUUUAAAAAUUUAAUCAUGCCAUUUCAACAUCACUUGAAAUAAUUCAUUCAUUUUGAUAUUUUUAAGACUAUUCAGUUUUUAUUAAUCUUGAGAAUAGCCUUUUUAAUUUCACGUUUUAUUUUGAUUAAUCGUGAAAGUAGCUUCGCGCUCGUUUUAGAAAGCUGUCAUACUUUCGAGUUGGAGGGAUGUGAUAUUUUGAGUGAAAUGUAAAGUUAAAAAGCAUUUCGAAUGGACAGGAUUGUUUCUAGUUUUUAAAUGGACAGAAAUUGGAGGACUCAUGUUUCUCAAUAUCACUAUUAUUAAUCAGGUUAGUUUAAUUUUCUCCUGGCAUUUCCUUUUGUUUCCAUUUCAAUUCUCGAAGUUUGAUCGUCUUUGGACAGAGUGUAUUCUACUUGAAUUUCUUGCUUUCGUUCUUCGUGUAUAAGUCCUAAAGAUUGGAAUCUUGUAUGGUUAACUUUUAAAUAAUGAUUUUUGAUAAAUUAACUUGUUUAAAUUUUAUAUAUAUAAUUUCAAAUG